rnacentral:rRNA from 1 species
CCCUUAGAUGUCCGGGGCCGCACGCGCGCUACACUGACUGGCUCAGCGUGUGCCUACCCUACGCCGGCAGGCGCGGGUAACCCGUUGAACCCCAUUCGUGAUGGGGAUCGGGGAUUGCAAUUAUUCCCCAUGAACGAGGAAUUCCCAGUAAGUGCGGGUCAUAAGCUUGCGUUGAUUAAGUCCCUGCCCUUUGUACACACCGCCCGUCGCUACUACCGAUUGGAUGGUUUAGUGAGGCCCUCGGAUCGGCCCCGCCGGGGUCGGCCCACGGCCCUGGCGGAGCGCUGAGAAGACGGUCGAACUUGACUAUCUAGAGGAAGUAAAAGUCGUAACA